rnacentral:rRNA from 2 species
UUAAGAAAGUAAGGGCACACAGUGAAUGCCUAGGCACUAAGAGCCGAAGAAGGACGCAACUAACGGCGAAACGCCACGGGAAGCAGUAAGUAUGUGAAGAUCCGUGGGUAUCCGAAUGAGGGAACUCGGCAUGUAGAAGACAUGUCACGUCGAAAGACGAGGGAAACGCAGUGAAUUGAAAUAUCUUAGUAACUGCAGGAAAAGAAAGUAAAAACGAUUCUGCGAGUAGCGACGAGCGAAAGUGGAGGAGCCCGAUACCAUAAUAGUUACAAAACUUUAUGUGAGAAGAACAACCUGGGAAGGUUGACCAAAGAAGGUGAAAGUCCUGUAAACGAAGCAUAAAGACUAGGGUAUCAAAGAGUACAGCGGGACACGAGAAAUCUUGCUGGAACUAUAAGGAGGACCAUCUCCUAAGGCUAAAUACUACUUAGUGACCGAUAGUGAACCAGUACCGUGAGGGAAAGGUGAAAAGAACCCCGGGAGGGGAGUGAAAGAGAUCCUGAAACUGUGUGCUUACAGUUAGUCAGAGCCCGUUAAUGGGUGAUGGCUUGCCUUUUGCAGAAUGAACCGGCGAGUUACGUUAACUAGCAAGGUUAAGCUUUAAGGAGCGGAGCCGAAGCGAAAGCGAGUCUGAAUAGGGCGAAUAAGUUAGUUGAUGUAGACCCGAAACUGGGUGAUCUAGCCAUGAGCAGGUUGAAGUUUAGGUAAAACUAAAUGGAGGACCGAACCAGGGCACGUUGAAAAGUGCUUGGAUGACUUGUGGCUAGGGGUGAAAUUCCAAUCGAACCCAGAGAUAGCUGGUUCUCCCCGAAAUAGCUUUAGGGCUAGCGUUAAUGAGUAUUUUAUGAAGGUAGAGCACUGAAUGUGUGAUGGCCCCACCUCGGGGUACUGAACACAAUUAAACUUCGAAUGUCAUAAAAGUGAAAUUAGCAGUCAGACUGUGGGUGAUAAGGUCCAUGGUCAAAAGGGAAACAGCCCAGACCGCCAGUUAAGGUCCCAAAAUUCAUGUUGAGUGGAAAAGGAAGUGGAGAUGCACAAACAACUAGGAGGUUGGCUUAGAAGCAGCCAUCCUUUAAAGAGUGCGUAAUAGCUCACUAGUCGAGUGACUCUGCGCCGAAAAUGUACCGGGGCUAAACAUGAUACCGAAGCUGCGGAUUUGAAAGUAAUUUCAAGUGGUAGGGGAGCGUUCUAACAGCGAAGAAGGCGUACCGUGAGGAGCGCUGGAGUGGUUAGAAGUGAGAAUGCCGGUGUAAGUAACGAAAAGAUAGGUGAGAAUCCUAUCCGUCGAAAACCCAAGGAUUCCAGGGGAAGGUUCGUCCGCCCUGGGUAAGUCGGGGCCUAAGGUGAGGCUGAAAAGCGUAGCCGAUGGAUAUCAGGUAGAGAAUCCUGAACUAGUAAAUAGACUGAAGGAGUGACAGAGGAGGAUAACACUUGCCCCUUAGUGGAUUGGGGUCGAGAAUACGAGUCUGUGGUAUAGGCAAAUCCGUACCACGUGAAGGAUGAGUAUUGACAGGUAAAAGGUGAUGACUUCAAACUCUCUAGAAAAGCUUCUAAGAUUAAUUUAUUUACUACCCGUACCGUAAACCGACACAGGUGGGUGGGUAGAGAAUACUAAGACGCGCGAGAAAACUCUUGUUAAGGAACUCGGCAAAAUGACUCCGUAACUUCGGGAUAAGGAGGACUUUUAAUGAAAAAAGAAAGUCGCAGAGAAUAGACCCAAGCGACUGUUUAUCAAAAACACAGGUCUCUGCAAAACCGUAAGGUGAAGUAUAGGGGCUGACGCCUGCCCGGUGCUGGAAGAUUAAGAGGAGAUGUCAGGAAACGAAGCAUUGAAUUGAAGUCCCAGUAAACGGCGGCCGUAACUAUAACGGUCCUAAGGUAGCGAAAUUCCUAGUCGGGUAAAUUCCGACCCGCACGAAAGGCGUAACGAUUUGGGUGCUGUCUCAACAAGAGACUCGGUGAAAUCAAGAUGCCGGUGAAAACGCCGGCCACCCGCGACAGGACGAAAAGACCCCAUGGAGCUUUACUGUAACUUGAUAUUGAUAUUGGGUGCAGAAUGUACAGGAUAGGUGGGAGACUUGGAAGCUGGAACGCUAGUUUCGGUGGAGUCGACCUUUGGAUACCACCCUUUCUGUAUCUGAUAUCUAACCUCGGUAAGUGGAUUACCAGGGACAGUGUCUGGUGGGCAGUUUGGCUGGGGCGGCCGCCUCCUAAAAAGUAACGGAGGCGCCCGAAGGUUCCCUCAGAAUGGUCGGAAAUCAUUCAUAGAGUGCAAAGGCAGAAGGGAGCUUGACUGCGAGACAAACAAGUCGAGCAGGUACGAAAGUAGGGCUUAGUGAUCUUACGGUUCCGCAUGGAAGGGCCGUGACUCAACGGAUAAAAGCUACCCUGGGGAUAACAGGCUUAUCGCAUCCAAGCGUUCACAGCGACGAUGCGGUUUGGCACCUCGAUGUCGGCUCGUCACAUCCUGGAGGUGGAGAAGCUUCCAAGGGUUGGACUGUUCGUCCAUUAAAGUGGCACGCGAGCUGGGUUCAGAACGUCGUGAGACAGUUCGGUCUCUAUCCGUCGUGGGCGUUGGAAAUUUGAAGGGUGCUGCUCCUAGUAUGAGAAGACCGGAGUGGACAUACCACUGGUGCACCAGUUGGCCUGCCAGGGCCACAGCUGGGUAGCUAUGUAUGGAAGGGAUAAACGCUGAAAGCAUCUAAGCGUGAAGCCCCCCUUAAGAUGAGAUUUCCCAAUUUAGUAAGACCCCUUGAAGACGACAAGGUUGAUAGGCUGGGUGUGGAAGCAUGGUGACAUGUGGAGCUGACCAGUACUAAUAGGUCGAGGACUUAACCUU